UACGUAGGGACCAAGCGUUGUUCGGAUUUACUGGGCGUAAAGGGCGCGUAGGCGGCGCGGUAAGUCACUUGUGAAAUCUCUGAGCUUAACCUGGGAAUGGCAUUUGGGACUGCAAGGCUCGAGUGCGGCAGAGGAGACUGGAAUUCCUGGUGUAGCAGUGAAAUGCGUAGAUAUCAGGAGGAACACCGAUGGCGAAGGCAGGUCUCUGGGCUGACACUGACGCUCAUGCACGAAAGCGUGGGGAGCAAACAGG
rnacentral:rRNA from 1 species